UGAGGAAUAUUGGUCAAUGGGCGAGAGCCUGAACCAGCCAAGUCGCGUGAAGGAAGACUGCCUUAUGGGUUGUAAACUUCUUUUAUACAGGAAUAAAAAGGCUUACGUGUAGGCCAUUGCAAGUACUGUAUGAAUAAGCAUCGGCUAACUCCGUGCCAGCAGCCGCGGUAAUACGGAGGAUGCGAGCGUUAUCCGGAUUUAUUGGGUUUAAAGGGUGCGCAGGCGGGCUUUUAAGUCAGCGGUGAAAUCUGGACGCUUAACGUCCAAACUGCCGUUGAAACUGGGAGUCUUGAGUAUGGAUGAAGUAGGCGGAAUUCGUUGUGUAGCGGUGACAUGCAUAGAUAUAACGAGGAACUCCGAUUGCGUAGGCAGCUUACUAAGCCAUAACUGACGCUCAUGCACGAAAGCGUGGGGAUCAAACAGGAUUAGAUACCCUGGUAGUCCACGCCGUAAAACGAUGAUUACUAGUUGUAUGCGAUAUGAUAGUAUGUGACUAAGCGAAAGCGAUAAGUAAUCCACCUGGGGAGUACGCCGCAACGGUGAAACUCAAAGGAAUUGACGGGGGUCAUAGCUGUUUUCCUG
rnacentral:rRNA from 1 species